rnacentral:rRNA from 1 species
ACGGGAGGCAGCAGUGGGGAAUUUUGCGCAAUGGGGGGAACCCUGACGCAGCAACGCCGCGUGCGGGAUGGAGGCCUUCGGGCUGUAAACCGCUUUCAGCAGGGAAGAUAACGACGGUACCUGCAGAAGAAGCUCCGGCUAACUACGUGCCAGCAGCCGCGGUAAUACGUAGGGGGCGAGCGUUAUCCGGAUUCAUUGGGCGUAAAGCGCGCGUAGGCGGCUGCCUAAGCGGAGUUUCUAACCUUGGGGCUCAACCUCAAGCCGGACUCCGAACUGGGCGGCUCGAGUGCGGUAGGGGCAGGCGGAAUUCCAUGUGUAGCGGUGAAAUGCGCAGAUAUAUGGAAGAACACCGAUGGCGAAGGCAGCCUGCUGGGCCGACACUGACGCUCAGGUGCGAAAGCUAGGGGAGCAAACAGGAUUAGAUACCCUGGUA